GUGGGGAAUAUUGGACAAUGGGCGAAAGCCUGAUCCAGCCAUGCCGCGUGUGUGAAGAAGGUCUUCGGAUUGUAAAGCACUUUAAGUUGGGAGGAAGGGCAGUAAGUUAAUACCUUGCUGUUUUGACGUUACCAACAGAAUAAGCACCGGCUAACUUCGUGCCAGCAGCCGCGGUAAUACGAAGGGUGCAAGCGUUAAUCGGAAUUACUGGGCGUAAAGCGCGCGUAGGUGGUUCAGCAAGUUGGAGGUGAAAUCCCCGGGCUCAACCUGGGAACUGACUCCAAAACUAAUGAGCUAGAGUACGGUAGAGGGUAGUGGAAUUUCCGGUGUAGCGGUGAAAUGCGUAGAUAUAGGAAGGAACACCAGUGGCGAAGGCGACUACCUGGACUGAUACUGACACUGAGGUGCGAAAGCGUGGGGAGCAAACAGGAUUAGAUACCCUUGUAGUCC
rnacentral:rRNA from 1 species